rnacentral:misc_RNA from 1 species
ACAGUCAGCUCCUCCAAAAUGAAUCAGCUUGCCAGUGUUUGGUGGGCAUCACAGGUGUGAUAACUAUCUACGCUUGUGGUUUUCCACCAGGUAACCUUCAGCAGUGGAGGUUCACUGGAGCUCACAGACGUCUCUCCUCAGCGAGGACAGCUCUUUGAAUGUUUGAUCUCAAAUCAGGUAGGACUACCCGCUGAACUUAA